ensembl:lncRNA
CUGAAUAGUUGGAUAGGUCUGAAUAGUUGGAUAGGUCUCGAUAGUUGGAUAGGUCUGGAUAGUUGGAUAGGUCUGGAUAGUUGGAUAGGUCUGGAUAGUUGGAUAGGUCUGGAUAGGUCUCGAUAGUUGGAUAGGUCUGGAUAGAUAGAUAGGUCUGGAUAUGUCUGGAUAGUUGGAUAGGUCUGGAUAGUUGGAUAGGGCUGGAUAGUUGGAUAGGGCUGGAUAGUUGGAUAGGUCUGGAUAGGUGGAUAGGUGGAUAGUUGGAUAGGUCUGGAUAGGUCUGGAUAGUUGGAUAGGUCUGGAUCGUUGGAUAGGUCUGGAUAGUUGGAUAGGUCUGGAUAGUUGGAUAGGUCUGGAUAGUUGGAUAGGGCUGGAUAGUUGGACAAGGCUGGAUAGUUGGACAGGGCUGGAUAGUUGGACAGGGCUGAAUAGUUGGAUAGGUCUGGAUAGUUGGAUAGGUCUGGAUAGUUGGAUAGGUCUGGAUAGGUGGAUAGGUCUGGAUAGUUGGAUAGGUCUGGAUAGUUGGAUAGGUCUGGAUAGUUGGAUAGGUCUGGAUAGUUGGAUAGGUCUGGAUAGUUGGAUAGGUCUGAAUAGGUCUGGAUAGUUGGAUAGGUCUGGAUAGUUGGAUAGGUCUGGAUUGUUGGAUAGGUCUGAAUUGUUGGAUAGGUCUGGAUAGUUGGAUAGGUCUGAAUAGGUCUGGAUAGUUGGAUAGGUCUGGAUAGUUGGAUAGGUCUGGAUAGUUGGAUAUGUCUGGAUAGUUGGAUA